AAGGGGAAUGGUUGAGCCUCUGGAGA
rnacentral:piRNA from 1 species